UACAGAGGGUGCGAGCGUUAAUCGGAAUUACUGGGCGUAAAGCGCACGUAGGUGGCGACGUAAGUCGGGUGUGAAAGCCCCGGGCUCAACCUGGGAAUUGCAUUCGAGACUGCAUUGCUGGAGUACGGAAGAGGAGGGCGGAAUUCCCGGUGUAGCGGUGAAAUUCGUAGAUAUCGAGAGGAACAUCGGUGGCGAAGGCGGCCUUCUGGACGGUGACUGACGCUGAGACGCGAAAGCGUGGGGAACAAACAGG
rnacentral:rRNA from 1 species